ACAUGCAUACAACAUAGCGUUAACUUACUGGAUCCCAUUAGAACUCCACAAUUCAGCACACUUGGGAUAGAGUAGUAUUGGGAUGGGUGACCACCCGGGAAGUCCUAGUGUCUUACAUGCC
rnacentral:rRNA from 1 species